rnacentral:rRNA from 1 species
GACGAACGCUGGCGGCGUGCUUAACACAUGCAAGUCGAACGGAAAGGCCCUGCUUUUGUGGGGUGCUCGAGUGGCGAACGGGUGAGUAACACGUGAGUAACCUGCCCUUGACUUUGGGAUAACUUCAGGAAACUGGGGCUAAUACCGGAUAGGAGCUCCUGCUGCAUGGUGGGGGUUGGAAAGUUUCGGCGGUUGGGGAUGGACUCGCGGCUUAUCAGCUUGUUGGUGGGGUAGUGGCUUACCAAGGCUUUGACGGGUAGCCGGCCUGAGAGGGUGACCGGCCACAUUGGGACUGAGAUACGGCCCAGACUCCUACGGGAGGCAGCAGUGGGGAAUAUUGCACAAUGGGCGGAAGCCUGAUGCAGCAACGCCGCGUGCGGGAUGACGGCCUUCGGGUUGUAAACCGCUUUCACCUGUGACGAAGCGUGAGUGACGGUAAUGGGUAAAGAAGCACCGGCUAACUACGUGCCAGCAGCCGCGGUGAUACGUAGGGUGCGAGCGUUGUCCGGAUUUAUUGGGCGUAAAGGGCUCGUAGGUGGUUGAUCGCGUCGGAAGUGUAAUCUUGGGGCUUAACCCUGAGCGUGCUUUCGAUACGGGUUGACUUGAGGAAGGUAGGGGAGAAUGGAAUUCCUGGUGGAGCGGUGGAAUGCGCAGAUAUCAGGAGGAACACCAGUGGCGAAGGCGGUUCUCUGGGCCUUUCCUGACGCUGAGGAGCGAAAGCGUGGGGAGCGAACAGGCUUAGAUACCCUGGUAGUCCACGCUGUAAACGGUGGGUACUAGGUGUGGGGUCCAUUCCACGGGUUCCGUGCCGUAGCUAACGCUUUAAGUACCCCGCCUGGGGAGUACGGCCGCAAGGCUAAAACUCAAAGGAAUUGACGGGGCCCCGCACAAGCGGCGGAGCAUGCGGAUUAAUUCGAUGCAACGCGUAGAACCUUACCUGGGUUUGACAUGGAUCGGGAGUGCUCAGAGAUGGGUGUGCCUCUUUUGGGGUCGGUUCACAGGUGGUGCAUGGCUGUCGUCAGCUCGUGUCGUGAGAUGUUGGGUUAAGUCCCGCAACGAGCGCAACCCUUGUUCACUGUUGCCAGCACGUUAUGGUGGGGACUCAGUGGAGACCGCCGGGGUCAACUCGGAGGAAGGUGGGGAUGACGUCAAGUCAUCAUGCCCCUUAUGUCCAGGGCUUCACGCAUGCUACAAUGGCUGGUACAGAGAGUGGCGAGCCUGUGAGGGUGAGCGAAUCUCGGAAAGCCGGUCUCAGUUCGGAUUGGGGUCUGCAACUCGACCUCAUGAAGUCGGAGUCGCUAGUAAUCGCAGAUCAGCAACGCUGCGGUGAAUACGUUCCCGGGGCU